CAAAUGCCUCGUCAUCCAAUUAGUGACGCGCAUGAAUGGAUUAACGAGAUUCCCACUGUCCCUAUCUACUGUCUAGCGAAACCACAGCCAAGGGAACGGGCUUGGAAAAAUCAGCGGGGAAAGAAGACCCUGUUGAGCUUGACUCUAGUUUGACUUUGUGAAGAGACAUGGGAGGUGUAGCAUAAGUGGGAGACUUCGGUCGAAAGUGAAAUACCACUACUCCCAUCGUUUCUUUACUUACUCGAUGAGGCGGAGUGCGAUUCUUAUCAGAAUCACCCUACUUGCGCAAAGUGUCGGACUGUCUAUCAGGCAGUCUGCACGAUCCGAUUCGAGGACAUUGUCAGGCGGGGAGUUUGACUGGGGCGGUACAUCUGUCAAAUACUAACGCAGGUGUCCUAAGGUUGGCUCCGUCAGGACAGAAACCUGGCUUAGAGCAAAAGGGCAAAUGCCAGCUUGAUCUACGACGUUCAGUAAACGUAUAGACGGCGAAAGCCUGGCCUAU
rnacentral:rRNA from 1 species